rnacentral:sRNA from 1 species
GCUGGGUGUGGUGGCGUGCAUCUGUAGUCCCAGCUCCUUGGGAGGCAGAGGUGGGAGGAUCACUUGAGUCCAGGAAUUCAAGGCUGCAGUGAGCUAUGAUCAUACCAGUGCCCUCCAGCCUGGGCAACAGAGUGAAACCCUGUCUCUAAAAAAUAGAAAAUAGGCUGGGCUCAGUGGCUCACGCCUGUAGUCCCAGCACUUUCGGAGGCCAAGGCAGGCAGAUCAGGAGCUCAAGAGAUUGAGACCAUCCUGGCCAACAUAGUGAAACCCCGUCUCU